rnacentral:rRNA from 1 species
UAAUACGGGAGGCAGCAGUGGGGAAUAUUGCACAAUGGGCGCAAGCCUGAUGCAGCCAUGCCGCGUGUAUGAAGAAGGCCUUCGGGUUGUAAAGUACUUUCAGCAGUGAGGAAGGUGGGUAUGUUAAUAGCAUACUCAUUUGACGUUAGCUGCAGAAGAAGCACCGGCUAACUCCGUGCCAGCAGCCGCGGUAAUACGGAGGGUGCGAGCGUUAAUCGGAAUUACUGGGCGUAAAGCGCAUGCAGGUGGAUGAUUAAGUCAGAUGUGAAAGCCCGGGGCUCAACCUCGGAAUAGCAUUUGAAACUGGUCAUCUAGAGUACUGUAGAGGGGGGUAGAAUUUCAGGUGUAGCGGUGAAAUGCGUAGAGAUCUGAAGGAAUACCGGUGGCGAAGGCGGCCCCCUGGACAGAUACUGACACUCAGAUGCGAAAGCGUGGGGAGCAAACAGGAAUAGAUACCCUGGUAGUCCCGCCGUAAACGAUGUCUACUUGGAGGUUGUGGCCCUUAACCCGGGCUUUUCGAGCUACGCGUUAAAUA